GUCCGAUUCAUCUGAAAAUUUCAGGGCAGAUAGAUCUUGACCUGAUAAACAAUUUUACCCCAUGUCAGAUUUGCUCUAAAUGCUUUGGUUUUUGAGUUAUAAGCCAAAAACUGCAUUUUACCCCUAUGUUCUAUUUUUAGCCAUGGCGGCCAUCUUGGUUGGUUGGCCGGGUCACGCCACACAAUUUUUUAAACUAGAUACCCCAAUGAUGAUUGUGGCCAAGUUUGGUUUAAUUUGGCCCAGUAGUUUCAGAGGAGAAGAUUUUUGUAAAAGUUAACGACGACGACGACGGACGACGACGGAC
rnacentral:lncRNA from 1 species